rnacentral:lncRNA from 1 species
AAACAUAACAAAACAAAAAUUUAAUCAACAAAUUAACAUUUAGGUUGUGUACUAAUACAACCUUGCCAUAUGGCAAAUGCAACAUUCUCCAUGUAAUGGUAAGCAGGGAGGUGUAUUGUUGACCUUCAUCACUUCACUAUGCACCUCCAAGUUUAACUGAAAAUCCAAUUUUUCCCCUCUAUCCUUUUACACCUCUAACAUAGAAUGUUUGACCAAAAAAGAUUCCUUUUCAAUUUUCAAAAACUAAAACCCUAAGCCUUUAUCUCUUGCGUCUCCUCUGAUACUCUCAUUCUCUCAUUUGCCUCUUUCCUCACUUUCACUCUCUCGCGCCCUCUUCCUUCCUUUCGUUUCUUUUGGUUUUGCCGGCAAUUGGUGGUGGUGAGGUGGUCUUCGUUGGUGGUGGAUCUGCUCUCCUCUCGCGUGUUCUUUUUUGCACUAAGGUUCGUCUCCUUGUUCUAUGCUCGUUCAUUUUUUAUCCAUUGUUAAUGCAUGCAUACGUGGAUUGAAUGGAUGAAUUUGAUUUCAUUGUAUGCAUCUGGAUUAAAUGUAUGCAUUUGUGGAUUGAAUGUAUGAAUUGAACUGAAAGGAUGUGCUCCAAAAUGUGACUUAGAGGCGUUAACCACACUUCGAAGUAAGGUUAAGGCCUCCCCGGCGUUUGAAAGCCAGUUGAGGGCUCGCC